UUUACAGAAGUACCUGACUAUGCCGGACUUUUGUGCAGCCUACGGAUGCUCUAAUCACCGCAGUCUGCAAACAAGAACCCGUGGGAUCACCUUUCACCUGUUUAAGGCAGUGGGAACUCGCCCUAAGAAGAGACGGUUUUGUUUCCUGUGACAGGACACUGCUCUGCAGUGAGCACUUCAGGAGUGAGGAAUUUGACCGGACAGGGCAGACUAAUGGCGAAUCGCUACCACUAGGAGCAUAUAUCGCCACCUACUAUGUAUUUAUUAAAUCUUCAUGUUCCAUGAGACGCAGCACUAUGUUCCCCACAUAUGUUUAUGUUUGCUCAGUCUAAUAAACCCAUAACAUGGUUGUGAAAGAAUACCAAA